CUCGGCCCCUCCGCCGCGCUCUUCUUCUUCUCCGUCUCCUCCGGCGGGGCGGCCGGGACAGAGGCGCCGCUCACCUCCUCGUCAACCACGACGACGGCUGGGGAAGAGGCAGGGAAGGAUUUCGCGACGGUGAGCAUCGCCGAGGCGGCGGAAGAAGAGGCCGGCUGCUGCUGUCGCUCCUGCUCCUCCUUGAGGCGGUGAUCGCGGUAGCAUUUAGAGCAGAGGUUGAGCGUCGCGGGGCUCCCGAAGAAGCCACAGUUGUUCGCGCAGAGGCGGUGGCCCUCCUGGCAUCGCUGCUCUUCCGCCAUUCUCCUCCCUCCCCUUUCUUUCCAGAUCAAUCGCUCGGCCGGUCAAUCUGCACGCGACCAAUAGCAAGCACACAUCAAAUAUUAUAGAUCGACCACCAAAUCCGCUCCUUUUCUCCCUCUGACAAUAAUAUAAAAGACAAAUCUUUGGCGUUACGGAUCCACAAAAUCCAUUGCUUCCGGUUCAAGAAAAAGGCAACACCACAACCCAAAAGCUCAAACAACCUCUACAGCAAGGAAUCCCAUCAGAAACAUGCGCAUGGCAUACCGUCUCAACGAUCUCCACAACCACAAAAAGAGAAAGAGAGAAAGAUUGAGAAAACGGCACCUUGUUAUGUGAGAACAAG
rnacentral:lncRNA from 1 species